AAGUCGUAACAAGGUUUCCGUAGGUGAACCUGCGGAAGGAUCAUCAUUGAAUUAUAUCCAUUCUACAAACCCUGUGAACUGUAUGUAAAAAGAGUGUUUGGCAGGAAGAUUUGGCAGCCAGCCGAGUCGUGUCUCUCUGUAGAGGGGCAGCAGCAGUAGAGUAGUAUACUCUAUCGCUGCUACCCCAAGGCGGAUGAGCGACUGCCAUAUGCUCGCUUUUUAAAAAAACGCUUUAAACAAUUAUUACUGAUACAAAUAAAUAAACUAUAAAACAACUUUCAACAAUGGAUCUCUUGGCUCUC
rnacentral:misc_RNA from 1 species